AUUGAACGCUGGCGGCAUGCUUUACACAUGCAAGUCGAACGGUAACAGGCCGCAAGGUGCUGACGAGUGGCGAACGGGUGAGUAAUGCAUCGGAACGUGCCCAGUCGUGGGGGAUAACUGCUCGAAAGAGCAGCUAAUACCGCAUACGAUCUAUGGAUGAAAGCGGGGGACCGUAAGGCCUCGCGCGAUUGGAGCGGCCGAUGUCGGAUUAGGUAGUUGGUGGGGUAAAGGCUCACCAAGCCAACGAUCUGUAGCUGGUCUGAGAGGACGACCAGCCACACUGGGACUGAGACACGGCCCAGACUCCUACGGGAGGCAGCAGUGGGGAAUUUUGGACAAUGGGGGCAACCCUGAUCCAGCAAUGCCGCGUGCAGGAAGAAGGCCUUCGGGUUGUAAGCUGCUUUUGUACGGAACGAAACGGUCUGGGUUAAUACCCUGGGCUAAUGACGGUACCGUAAGAAUAAGCACCGGCUAACUACGUGCCAGCCGCCGCCGUAAUAC
rnacentral:rRNA from 1 species